GGUGCAUGGUUGUCGUCAGCUCGUGUCGUGAGAUGUUGGGUUAAGUCCCGCAACGAGCGCAACCCUUAUUGCUAGUUACCAUCAUUGAUUGGGGACUCUAGCGAGACUGCCAGCGAUAAGCUGGAGGAAGGUGGGGAUGACGUCAAAUCAUCAUGCCCCUUAUGACCUGGGCUACAAACGUGAUACAAUGGCUGGAACAAAGGGAGGCGAAGGGGUGACCUGGAGCGAAACCCAAAAAUACAGUCUCAGUUCGGAUUGAAGUCUGCAACUCGACUUCAUGAAGUCGGAAUCGCUAGUAAUCGCGGAUCAGAACGCCGCGGUGAAUACGUUCUCCGGGGUUU
rnacentral:rRNA from 1 species